GCCGGGAUGGCGGAACUGGCAGACGCAGCGGACUCAAAAUCCGCCGGCCCUUGCGGCCGUGGGGGUUCGACCCCCCCUCCCGGCACCA
rnacentral:tRNA from 2 species